GAUUUCUGGCUCGUCGUCUUAGCCCGCUUACUUCGGUUUGUGUGAGCUGAUACGAUCUGCCAUCCUUCCAGAGAGCCGUCAGUGUCAUUUACUUGAUUGCUGGCGUUGCGAUCUGGAUCAUUUACUUUGAAAAAAUUAGAGUGUUUAAAGCAGGCUUACGCCUUGAAUACAUUAGCAUGGAAUAAUAACAUAGGACUUCGGUUCUAUUUUGUUGGUUUCUAGGACCUUAGUAAUGAUUGAUAGGGAUAGUUGGGGGUGCUAGUAUUCAGCGGCCAGAGGUGAAAUUCUUGGAUUCGCUGAAGACUAACUACUGCGAAAGCAUU
rnacentral:rRNA from 1 species